rnacentral:rRNA from 1 species
UGGGGAAUAUUGGACAAUGGGCGGAAGCCUGAUCCAGCCAUGCCGCGUGUGUGAAGAAGGCCUUUUGGUUGUAAAGCACUUUAAGCGAGGAGGAGGCUACUUGGAUUAAUACUCUAGGAUAGUGGACGGUACUCGCAGAAUAAGCACCGGCUAACUCUGUGCCAGCAGCCGCGGUAAUACAGAGGGUGCGAGCGUUAAUCGGAUUUACUGGGCGUAAAGCGUGCGUAGGCGGCUUCUUAAGUCGGAUGUGAAAUCCCUGAGCUUAACUUAGGAAUUGCAUUCGAUACUGGGAAGCUAGAGUAUGGGAGAGGAUGGUAGAAUUCCAGGUGUAGCGGUGAAAUGCGUAGAGAUCUGGAGGAAUACCGAUGGCGAAGGCAGCCAUCUGGCCUAAUACUGACGCUGAGGUACGAAAGCAUGGGGAGCAAACAGG